UUUUACAAUGGAGAGUUUGAUCCUGGCUCAGGAUGAACGCUAGCUACAGGCUUAACACAUGCAAGUCGCGGGGCAGCAUGGGGGUUGCUUGCAACCCCUGAUGGCGACCGGCGCACGGGUGAGUAACGCGUAUCCAACCUGCCCUUCACCACGGGAUAACCCGGCGAAAGUCGGACUAAUACCGUAUGUUGUCCAUUGACGGCAUCCGAUUUGGACGAAAGGCUUGGCGGUGAAGGAUGGGGAUGCGUCCGAUUAGCCAGACGGCGGGGUAACGGCCCACCGUGGCUACGAUCGGUAGGGGUUCUGAGAGGAAGGUCCCCCACACUGGAACUGAGACACGGUCCAGACUCCUACGGGAGGCAGCAGUGAGGAAUAUUGGUCAAUGGACGGAAGUCUGAACCAGCCAAGUAGCGUGCAGGAUGACGGCCCUAUGGGUUGUAAACUGCUUUUAUGCGGGGAUAAAGUGGCCCACGUGUGGGCUUUUGCAGGUACCGCAUGAAUAAGGACCGGCUAAUUCCGUGCCAGCAGCCGCGGUAAUACGGAAGGUCCGGGCGUUAUCCGGAUUUAUUGGGUUUAAAGGGAGCGUAGGCCGCCCCUUAAGCGUGUUGUGAAAUGCGGGUGCUCAACAUCCGACUUGCAGCGCGAACUGGGGGGCUUGAGUGCGCCGAAAGUAGGCGGAAUUCGUGGUGUAGCGGUGAAAUGCUUAGAUAUCACGAAGAACUCCGAUUGCGAAGGCAGCUUACUGUAGCGCAACUGACGCUGAUGCUCGAAAGCGUGGGUAUCGAACAGGAUUAGAUACCCUGGUAGUCCACGCGGUAAACGAUGGAUGCUCGUUGUCGGCCUUUAUGGUCGGUGACCAAGCGAAAGCGUUAAGCAUCCCACCUGGGGAGUACGCCGGCAACGGUGAAACUCAAAGGAAUUGACGGGGGCCCG
rnacentral:rRNA from 1 species